AUUCAAUGAUCGGUGGAUCGCGGUGUCCGCCAAGACGAUUCAAAUGGCGCGAGUGAGCAAAAGUGCCAUGAACUCCGAUUGUAGAGCCGACGAAGCGAGAAAAGUUGUGGGCUGCGAGAAGAGCAGAGCACGGACCGAGCAUUGGCGACAGCAUUGUUAAUCACCUGAGAUGCAUCCACCUUUUGGCGACGAAAUAUGAAGUUGUUCCUAGAUUUCCAAAUGUGCCAUAGGACGUAGGUGAUGGUAUUCUGAUCAGUAUUUAGCAAGAUUGGAGUAUGGUCCGAACCCACUAUUGGUAGUGCAAACACUUCAGCUUCGGGGAAUGCAAGACGCCAUUCAGGUGUAUAGAAAGCUCGGUCCAACCUUUCUUUGACUAAAUCAGCUCCUUCUUGAUUAU